rnacentral:sRNA from 1 species
CCCAUUUUUGGAAAAAAGCUGGAUCCGCGCAUAUGUUUGCUAUUACUAUUGUACUGCUGCAUGGUAGACAUAUAAGUAUUAUAAUGUCUAUAUAUAAAUGAGCUAAUACACACUGAGAAUAUACAAUCGCAACCUCUGGGGCCUUUCCGGCAAGCUCGGAAAACACGUGUUUUUCCGAGCUUGCCGGAAAGGCCCGAGAAGCUGCGAUUGUGAGAAUAUAUAGUGAAGCUAGUAAUUACAUGUACUAACACAAAUAAGUGCAAUCCUGACCAUUCCAAAGUUUAAUCAUGUUUGUGAUGUUGUUGAGGCUUGAAAUAAAGAUGCGAAACGG